rnacentral:misc_RNA from 1 species
UGGCUCUCGCAACGAUGAAGAACGCAGCGAAAUGCGAUACGUAGUGUGAAUUGCAGAAUUCCGCGAAUCAUCGAGUUUUUGAACGCAACUUGCGCCCGCGGCUCGUCCAAGGGCAUGCCUGCCCGAGCGUCCUCACAACCCCCACGCUCCGCCUCCCCUCGGGGAGGCUCAGAGCGGAGAUGGUCGUCCGUGUGACCCUUUGCGGGAGCGCGGUCGGCUGAAAUGGAUCGGUGGCACCGUGCGACAACGUGUCGCAAGGGUGGUCCACCCCUUGUGCAUCGAGGGGUGGCUAUUUGCGGCCGCGUCGUCCGGAGGUGCACGUGCCGAAUCGGGCUCAUACGGGGACAACGCCCUUUGCGAAGGAGUGCUUGGAACCCCUGUGAUCACAUCUCGGACCUCGGAUCAGGCAAGGCUACCCGCUGA